CUAGCGACUUCAGAGUUUGAUCCUGGCUCAGGACGAACGCUGGCGGCGUGCUUAACACAUGCAAGUCGAGCGGGGAUCCGGGACUUCGGUUCUGGAUUCUAGCGGCGGACGGGUGAGUAACGCGUGAACAAUCUGUCCCAGACAGGGGGAUAACAGAUGGAAACAUCUGCUAAUACCGCAUAAGACCACGACACCACAUGGUGAUGAGGUAAAAGAUUUAUCGGUCUGGGGUGAGUUCGCGUCCGAUUAGCUAGUUGGUGAGGUAACGGCCCACCAAGGCGACGAUCGGUAGCCGAUCUGAGAGGGUGAUCGGCCACAUUGGAACUGAGACACGGUCCAA
rnacentral:rRNA from 1 species